GACGAACGCUGGCGGCGUGCUUAACACAUGCAAGUCGAACGAUGAAGCGGGUGCUUGCACUCGUGGAUUAGUGGCGAACGGGCGAAUAACACGUGAGUAACCUGUCCUUUUCUUUGGGAUAACGGCUGGAAACGGCUGCUAAUACUGGAUAUUCAGGCUGCAUCGCAUGGUGUGGUUUGGAAAGGUUUUUUCUGGGAUUGGGUGGGCUCGCGGCCUAUCAGCUUGUUGGUGGGGUGAUGGCUUACCAAGGCUUUGACGGGUAGCCGGCCUGAGAGGGUGGUCGGUCGCACUGGGACUGAGAUACGGCCCAGACUCCUACGGGAGGCAGCAGUGGGGAAUAUUGCACAAUGGACGAAAGUUUGAUGCAGCGACGCCGCGUGGAGGGUGUAGGCCUUCGGGUUGUGAACUCCUUUUUCUCGCGAAAAAGGCACAGUUUUGGCUGUGUUGAUGGUAGUGGGGGAAGAAGCGCCGGCUAACUACGUG
rnacentral:rRNA from 1 species